GACAGCCAGUGACUGCAGACGUCAUAGCGCGUGAUGACCCAGCCAGAGCCGCUGUCCUGUGCGUGAGCGGGAAGGAGUGACUCAGGAAGGGGGGUGUGUGUGCAAGGAUGGAAAGAAGGAGCCAGAGGAAGGAAGGAAAGUGGCGGAGGAGAGGGAAGCCCUGGGCCAGAUGUGCUGGUGUUGGGGCGGGUGACUCUGGAGCCGAGGGGCAGCAGGGGGGGCGCCCGGGCAGGAGGACCCCCGGGUUCCCCGCAAGCCCAGCCCGAGAUAGGCCCCGCUGCUCUGUCUUGCCCUCUGUGUCGGCUCCCUCGCCAGGUCCUGCCGCCCCCACCACGACGGGAAACCUCGGUCUCUUCAAUUAGCCUGUGUCCCCACGUGCAAGGAGACGCCCUCCCGGGAACCCCUGCCUAAAGCAGCGCAUCCUCCAGAUCGGCCGGGCGUACGUGUGACUGCGCGCGCCCUCCCGCCCAUGCCUCAUGUCAGGGAGAUGGCGUCACUUCAUCCCCUGUGUCCUGCCUGAAAUGACCCCCCAGAGCGGAAAACCGGAGGCACAACCGGGAAGACAGGAGGGAGGCCGCGCGGCCAACACUCUGGAUGGAGAAGCAAGACUUAAAGCACCGCAGACGGGGUCCACGUGGGCAGAGAGGACACCAGGAGGACAGAGGGACGUCCCCAAAUCCUGAACACCUGGCCAGGAAGGGGGCUGUCGGGCGAGGCGGGGAGUCUCCCCCGUGCGACCUCAGUGGUCCUCUCGGGUGGUUUGUGAGCCCGUUGAGGAAGCCAGGGGCCUCCAGGAGCAGAGCAAAUAGGGGGCCGGCUGCUCACGCCCCCGUCCAGGCAGGAUGCAGGAUGCAGGCGCGCCCCGGGGUGACCCAGCGCAAUGGGGGGCCCCGGUGGCCGGCAGAGAAGGGAGACGCAGGGAGCCUGCGAGCCCUGGCUGGGAGAGCUGUUUCCUUCUGUCCGGGCCACUUGUUAAAGUCCCAGUGCUUUUUAUGGUUCCUCUUAACUGCGGUGGAAAUGAGGCACAGAGGUCAAUGUCACGCGCGCGCACACAAGCUUCAGAGGACAGGGAGACCUCAAUGUCAUUCCCGGCGCGGGAAUGGAAAGACAGAUGGCCCUUCUGUGACAGGCCGCGGGUAAUUUGAGCCCGAGAUUCAGGCCGCGAGGAGAGGCUAUCACCAAAGAAUAAAUCUGAGUCAGCGGCAAAGCAAUCACUUUGGAUUAAGGGCACUUUCCGGGGCCAGAAGGAACAAAGGCUAUUCCCCGAAGCCCGCGGAAUAAAUACUAGUUGUUUCUCACGAUGAGAGAGGCUGGCAGAGGGACCGUGCACACUGACCGGGGCGGCCGGGCCGCCCUCACCCGCCAUCCCCAUGACCUUCGUGCCGCACACUUCGCACGCGCCGCCCCCACCCCGCCCCUGCACGCGGGUCCUGCCCGGAGGGGGCAGGAAAGCUUUCCCAGGUUGGAACCUCCAGGGAGACCCACGUCACCUGGGCCCAGGGCCGUCAGACCAGUGCUGGAGGAGGAAAAACGGCGCUGCCCGCCCCCAGCCUGGCGCCCUGGCGCCCUGCGGCCAGCACCGCCCACCCUGAGCUCCGUGUCUGUUGGUUUUCCCCGACAUGCCACGCACUUCUUCCAAACCGAAGUGGAGCUCAGCACACGGCUGCCGGUCACCGCUCACCUGCGGGCAGGAGUGAGCCCGCCUACCCUGGGAUCCCCUCGUCCCGGAUGGCACGUCCUGCGGCCGCCUGCCCACCCCAGGCCUCCCUCGGCGCACCCCCAGCCCAGAAGAAGUCCUUCUCCAAAGCCAUUAUGAUGGAGCCCGGGCUUACCCUCGGCGGGAGGGGUGGCUCCUGGCACUCAGCACCCGGGAAGAGUGCCCGCACUGCGGACGGUUUGGGGAACCGGUGAUGUUCCCUGGCAUGAACAUAACCUCUUCAUGGAGCCAUUUUCUGGACAUCUGUUUGCACCCAGGGCAUGCCCCUGCCUUCUUACACAGCAUCUGGAAUGCCAGUUCGGCAGUCUUUGCAAUGCGCUGCACCUGACCUGUGCCCACAGCUUUGCAACGCACUGCACCUACUGCGCCCACGGCUUUGCAACGCGCUGCACCUGACCUGCGCCCACGGCUUUGCAACGUGCUACACCUGACCUGUGCUCACAUCUCUACACCCUGCUUCUCUCACUUGUAAAUGCACGCAGUCAUACCCACCCCACAGAGAGGUGCUUGCAAUUAAAAUCCAAAUGCGAUGCAUGUGCCAAA